AUUGAACGCUGGCGGCAUGCUUUACACAUGCAAGUCGAACGGCAGCGCGGGGGCAACCCUGGCGGCGAGUGGCGAACGGGUGAGUAAUAUAUCGGAACGUACCCAGAAGUGGGGGAUAACGUAGCGAAAGUUACGCUAAUACCGCAUACGAUCUACGGAUGAAAGUGGGGGACCUUCGGGCCUCAUGCUUUUGGAGCGGCCGAUAUCUGAUUAGCUAGUUGGUGAGGUAAAGGCUCACCAAGGCGACGAUCAGUAGCUGGUCUGAGAGGACGACCAGCCACACUGGAACUGAGACACGGUCCAGACUCCUACGGGAGGCAGCAGUGGGGAAUUUUGGACAAUGGGGGCAACCCUGAUCCAGCAAUGCCGCGUGAGUGGAAGAAGGCC
rnacentral:rRNA from 1 species